AGAGAAAUAGCUGGGUAAAAUGGUGGUUCCACUCCAAGGAAUCUCCAUACUGUUUUCCAUAUUGGCUGCACCGAUUUGCAGUCCCAUCAGCAAU
rnacentral:pre_miRNA from 1 species